rnacentral:sRNA from 1 species
AGUGAAAUAUAGCAUUGUAAAAUAUAGGUAUAAAAUGAUACUUUUGUAUCAAAUACUUACAUUUCUAAAUAUGUAUAACAGUUUAUAUUUAUACUGCUAUUCCUGUGUGUGUGUGUGUGUGUGUGUGUGUGUUACUGGAUUGAUCCCCUAUGCACUCUGCCACUG